GUCUGUAGUUCUCUGUUUUUUCUUUUGUUGUUAUGUGCAUAAAUCUGGUUGUUUAUUUUUUUCAUUUGAAUUGUUUUACAUUUUGCUGUGUUGGGGCAUUUAAUAGCUUACAAUACAGUAUAAGUCUAUCCAUAGUUGAAAACAAGUCUUUGUGAAAUCAGCUGGACAUUUGGUCCUGCAAACCAUUCUUCUCAACUGAACCAGACUUGCUUUUACACAAUGUUUACACAUAUGAUUGGGAAAAACUG
rnacentral:lncRNA from 1 species